GUCUUUUAGAGUAGAAUUUAAGGUUUAACCUGCCCACUGAUUAUUUUAAUGGCCGCAGUAUAUUGACUGUGCAAAGGUAGCAUAAUCAUUAGUUUUUUAAUUGAAAGCUGGUAUGAAUGGUUGGACGAGAUAUAGUCUGUCUUUAUUUUAUAAAUAGAAUUUAAUUUUUAAGUUAAAAAGCUUAAAUAAAAUUAAAAGACGAGAAGACCCUAUAGAUCUUUAUAUUUGUUUGUAUAUGGUUUUUAAGGAUUAUUAAUUAUUAUAUGCAUGUAUUUAUUUAAUUGGGGUAAUGUAAAGAUUUAAUUAAUUCUUUUUUUAUUGAACAUUAGUAAUUGAAUAUGAUGAUCCAUUAUUAUUGAUUAUAAGAUUAAGUUACCUUAGGGAUAACAGCGUAAUUUUUUUUGAGAGUUCUUAUUGAUAAAAAAGUUUGCGACCUCGAUGUUGGAUUAAAGUUUAUUUUAGGUGUAGAAGUUUAGAGUUUUAGUCUGUUCGACUAUUAAAACUUUACAUGAUCUGAGUUCAAACCGGUGUAAGCCAGGUUGGUUUCUAUCUUUAAUUAAAUAAAAUAUUUUAGUACGAAAGGACCGAGUAUUUAAUAUGUAGUAUUUUGUUUUUGAGAGUUGUU
rnacentral:rRNA from 1 species